UACGUAAGGAGCAAGCGUUGUCCGGAAUCAUUGGGCGUAAAGAGCGUGUAGGCGGCCCGGUAAGUCCGCUGUGAAAGUCCAGGGCUCAACCCUGGGAUGCCGGUGGAUACUGUCGGGCUCGAGUCCGGAAGAGGCGAGUGGAAUUCCUGGUGUAGCGGUGAAAUGCGCAGAUAUCAGGAGGAACACCAAUGGCGAAGGCAGCUCGCUGGGACGUGACUGACGCUGAGACGCGAAAGCGUGGGGAGCAAACAGG
rnacentral:rRNA from 1 species